GACGAACGCUGGCGGCGUGCUUAACACAUGCAAGUCGAACGGUGAAGCGCCUUCCUUUUUGGUGGGUGUGGAUGAGUGGCGAACGGGUGAGUAACACGUGAGUAACCUGCCCCCUUCUUCUGGAUAACCGCAUGAAAGUGUGGCUAAUACGGGAUAUUCUGGGUCUGUCGCAUGAUGGGUCUGGGAAAGAUAUUGUUUCGGUGGGGGAUGGGCUCGCGGCCUAUCAGCUUGUUGGUGGGGUGAUGGCCUACCAAGGCGGUGACGGGUAGCCGGCCUGAGAGGGUGGACGGUCACACUGGGACUGAGACACGGCCCAGACUCCUACGGGAGGCAGCAGGGGGGAAUAGUGCACAAUGGGCGCAAGGCUGAUGCAGCGACGCCGCGUGAGGGAUGGAGGCCUUCGGGUUGUGAACCUCUUUCGCCAGUGAAGCAGGCCUGCCUCGUUUGUGGGUGGGUUGACGGUAGCUGGAGAAGAAGCGCCGGCUAACUACGUG
rnacentral:rRNA from 1 species